rnacentral:misc_RNA from 1 species
GAUGAAGAACGUAGUGAAAUGCGAUAAGUAAUGUGAAUUGCAGAAUUCAGUGAAUCAUCGAAUCUUUGAACGCACCUUGCACCCUUUGGCAUUCCGAAGGGUAUGCUCGUUUGAGUGUCAUUGUACUCUCACACUCCCAAUUGCUUUGGAUUGGGAGCGGUGGACUUGGGUGUUGCUGCUUGACUGAGGCUCACCUGAAAUAUGUUAGUGCACCUCUUGAUUGGACAUAGUACGGCGUGAUAAGUUUCUUCGCCGGCUCCUCGCAAAGAGGGUGGCCGAUCGGGAGCUCUGUUGCUUCAAACUGUCUUCGGACAAUCUUCUGGCGACUUGACCUCAAAUCGAGUAGGACUACCCGCUGAACUUAAGCAUAUCAAUAAGCGGAGGA